UCAGGAUCAACAGAUUCCAUUCAGCUACACAUACUAUUCCUAUAAUAGAUCUACUGUAGCCAAUAUAUACCAUAAGAUUUUGAAUAGCUAGGUAACCAAAUGAUUGUACAGUCAAACUACAGUAACCCCACUGUGAACAGCUGAGGCACCGUAGGUAAAAGAACUAUCUACACCAUUGUAACUUUAAGCAAGUCACCGACAAGUGGGUGGCCAUCCUAGUAACUACUCAUGUUAG
rnacentral:lncRNA from 1 species